GGAAACGUGCCUGACAAAAGGACCUCCUUGAUAGGGAGGAUAAUAGGGGCUAAUUCCCCUCGCUUCC
rnacentral:tRNA from 1 species